rnacentral:misc_RNA from 1 species
GUGAAGAACGUAGCGAAAUGCGAUAAGUAGUGUGAAUUGCAGAAUUCAGUGAAUCAUCGAAUCUUUGAACGCACAUUGCGCCCCUUGGUAUUCCAUGGGGCAUGCCUGUUCGAGCGUCAUUUGUACCUUCAAGCUUUGCUUGGUGUUGGGUGUUUGUCUCGCCUCCGCGUGUAGACUCGCCUCAAAACAAUUGGCAGCCGGCGUAUUGAUUUCGGAGCGCAGUACAUCUCGCGCUUUGCACUCACAACGACGACGUCCAAAAGUACAUUUUUACACUCUUGACCUCGGAUCAGGUAGGGAUACCCGCUGAACUUAAGCAUAUCAAUAAGCGGAGGA